AUGAUUAGCAAGUUAGCCCAUGGCCUUGGGAGGGGAUCAUUUAUAAUAGAUUGAAUGGUAAGACUCCGUUGUCUAAGAAGCAUAGCAGUGGGAUCGGCCGAGGAGGGGCUAGUUAGUUGGUAAGGUAACGGCUUAGCCAGACGAUGAUCUAUAGGGGGCCUGAGAGGGGGAACCCCCACACUGGUACUGAGACACGGACCAGACUCCUACGGGAGGCAGCAGUGAGGAAUAUUGGACAAUGGGUGGAAGCCUGAUCCAGCCAUCCCGCGUGUAGGAUGACGGCCUUAUGGGUUGUAAACUACUUUUAUCUGGGGAUAAACCUACUUACGUGUAAGUAGCUGAAGGUACCAGAAGAAUAAGCACCGGCUAACUCC
rnacentral:rRNA from 1 species